rnacentral:rRNA from 1 species
GAUGAACGCUGGCGGCGUGCCUAAUACAUGCAAGUCGAGCGAACAGACGAGGAGCUUGCUCCUCUGACGUUAGCGGCGGACGGGUGAGUAACACGUGGAUAACCUACCUAUAAGACUGGGAUAACUUCGGGAAACCGGAGCUAAUACCGGAUAAUAUAUUGAACCGCAUGGUUCAAUAGUGAAAGACGGUUUUGCUGUCACUUAUAGAUGGAUCCGCGCCGCAUUAGCUAGUUGGUAAGGUAACGGCUUACCAAGGCAACGAUGCGUAGCCGACCUGAGAGGGUGAUCGGCCACACUGGAACUGAGACACGGUCCAGACUCCUACGGGAGGCAGCAGUAGGGAAUCUUCCGCAAGGGGCGAAAGCCUGACGGAGCAACGCCGCGUGAGUGAUGAAGGUCUGCGGAUCGUAAAACGCUGUUAUUAGGGAAGAACAAAUGUGUAAGUAACUAUGCACGUCUUGACGGUACCUAAGCAGAAAGCCACGGCUAACUACGU